UACGUAGGGACCGAGCGUUGUCCGGAUUCAUUGGGCGUAAAGAGCUCGUAGGCGGCCACUCAAGUCGAAUGUGAAACCUCGAGGCUUAACCUCGAGCCUGCAUUCGAUACUGGGCGGCUAGAGUCUGGUAGGGGGAUCUGGAAUUCCUGGUGUAGCGGUGGAAUGCGCAGAUAUCAGGAGGAACACCGGUGGCGAAGGCGGGAUCCUGGGCCAGUACUGACGCUGAGGAGCGAAAGCGUGGGGAGCAAACGGG
rnacentral:rRNA from 1 species